rnacentral:rRNA from 1 species
UAAGGAAUAUUGGUCAAUGGACGCAAGUCUGAACCAGCCAUGCCGCGUGGAGGAUUAAGGCCCUCUGGGUUGUAAACUCCUUUUAUCUGGGAAGAAAUGUACUUUUUCUUGAGUACUUGACGGUACCAGAGGAAUAAGCACCGGCUAACUCCGUGCCAGCAGCCGCGGUAAUACGGAGGGUGCAAGCGUUAUCCGGAUUCACUGGGUUUAAAGGGUGCGUAGGUGGGCAGGUAAGUCAGUGGUGAAAUCUCCGGGCUUAACCCGGAAACUGCCGUUGAUACUAUUUGUCUUGAAUAUUGUGGAGGUAAGCGGAAUAUGUCAUGUAGCGGUGAAAUGCUUAGAUAUGACAUAGAAUACCAAUUGCGAAGGCAGCUUACUACACAAUCAUUGACGCUGAGGCACGAAAGCGUGGGGAUCAAACA